AUGCACUUCUCUCCAAAAUUUCCAUCGCGUGACUUUUUUUGUUUUUUUGUUUUCUUCUUCUCUAAACCAAUAUAAACCGAACCGAAAAUCAAUUGUAAUUUUAAAACCAUUGUAAACCGAAAUAUUUCUUCUCCCUCCGACGAAGACUAAAAAACCAUGUAAACAGAGACGUCGAAACCUGCCGGAGAACAGAGGAGAGAACCCGGCGAAAAUGGGAAAUUCGAAUUCGUCUUCUGUUGAUCAUCGCUCCACUUCUGCUUCCAGAGCUUUUACUCAGAAGAAGCUCGAUGAUCUCAAAUCUCUCUUCUCUUACCUCGAUUCCAAGUCUCAGAGUGUUCUGUCCUAUCUGGUUUCUGUGGUCUGAUCAUUUGAAUUAAGCCUCACACGAUGUGUGUUGGAUUCGAUUGUCAAAGGAGUAUUUUGGUCUGAGUGGUUCUUUAGGAGAAAGGAUCUUUGAUAUGGUCACUCAACACAGGAAAGAUGAUAGAAUAUGACUUCUUGAAGAUCUUGUUAUUGCUAAGGUCUGAUUUUGAAGAGUGUGUUCUCCACUGAGAGUUCUGAUGCUGAAUCAAGUGAUUACAAAGAGAUGGUUGAUGUGCUACUCAAUGCCACUACUUCCUCAAAAUCUGAUGAUGGUUCUGAUUCUGAAAAAGGAAUGUCACUCGUUCCAACUAUCAGAAAGUUCUUCAUUAAUGCCCCCGGGUCCAGUGAGACCUGAAUAUCAAGUCCCACAUCUGCUUUAUGAAGAUAGUGUGGGCUCAGAUAGGCUACUAUUAAAAGAAGGAAUACGCUUGGCAUAUUGGAGGGGCUCUUCCUCACCACGAGCUUGUAGAGUGGAAGCUGCUGUAUCACUGUUCCUUACCAAA